rnacentral:rRNA from 1 species
CCCUUAGAUGUUCUGGGCCGCACGCGUGCUACACUGAGUAAUUCAAUGGGUAAGGGAACGCUAGAGCAUUACCUAAUCUUGAAAUUUGCUCGUGAUGGGGAUCGACGGUUGCAAUUUUCCGUCGUGAACGAGGAAUACCUUGUAGGCGCAUGUCAUCAUCAUGCGCCGAAUACGUCCCUGCCCUUUGUACACACCGCCCGUCGCUCCUACCGAUUGAGUAAUCCGGUGAGGCUCUGGGACCUGGACGGAAAGAGCGUUUCGCUUGUUCUGUUUGGGAAACUUGGUCGAACCUUAUCAUUUAGAGGAAGGAGAAGUCGUAACA